rnacentral:rRNA from 1 species
GAUGAACGCUGGCGGCGUGCUUAACACAUGCAAGUCGAACGAUGAAGCCCAGCUUGCUGGGUGGAUUAGUGGCGAACGGGUGAGUAACACGUGAGUAACCUGCCCUUAACUCUGGGAUAAGCCUGGGAAACUGGGUCUAAUACCGGAUAGGAGCGUCCACCGCAUGGUGGGUGUUGGAAAGAUUUAUCGGUUUUGGAUGGACUCGCGGCCUAUCAGCUUGUUGGUGAGGUAAUGGCUCACCAAGGCGACGACGGGUAGCCGGCCUGAGAGGGUGACCGGCCACACUGGGACUGAGAAACGGCCCAGACUCCUACGGGAGGCAGCAGUGGGGAAUAUUGCACAAUGGGCGCAAGCCUGAUGCAGCGACGCCGCGUGAGGGAUGACGGCCUUCGGGUUGUAAACCUCUUUCAGUAGGGAAGAAGCGAAAGUGACGGUACCUGCAGAAGAAGCACCGGCUAACUACGCG